AGAACGAACGCUGGCGGCGUGCUUAACACAUGCAAGUCGUACGAGAAACCGGAACUUCGGUUCCGGGAGUAAAGUGGCGCACGGGUGAGUAACGCGUAGGUAAUCUACCCUUGGGUUUGGAAUAACCCGCCGAAAGGCGUGCUAAUACCGGAUAAAAUCUUUCGGAGGGAUCUGAAAGAUCAAAGGUGGCCUCUCCAUGGAUGCUACCGCCUGAGGAUGAGCCUGCGUCCCAUUAGCUUGUUGGUAGGGUAAUGGCCUACCAAGGCUACGAUGGGUAGCUGGUCUGAGAGGAUGAUCAGUCACACUGGAACUGGAACACGGUCCAGACUCCUACGGGAGGCAGCAGUGAGGAAUAUUGCGCAAUGGGGGAAACCCUGACGCAGCGACGCCGCGUGGGCGAAGAAGGCCUUUGGGUCGUAAAGCCCUGUCUAGAGGGAAGAAAUUCUCAAUGGAAUAAUACCCAUUGAGAUUGACGGUACCUCUGGAGGAAGCACCGGCUAACUCCGUGCCAGCAGCCGCGGUAAUACGGAGGGUGCGAGCGUUGUUCGGAAUUACUGGGCGUAAAGCGGGUGUAGGCGGUUUGUUAAGUCAGAUGUGAAAGCCCACGGCUCAACCGUGGAAGUGCAUCUGAAACUGGCAGACUUGAGUACCGGAGAGGGAAGUGGAAUUCCUGGUGUAGGGGUGAAAUCCGUAGAUAUCAGGAGGAACACCGGUGGCGAAGGCGACUUCCUGGACGGAUACUGACGCUGAGAUCCGAAAGCGUGGGGAGCAAACAGGAUUAGAUACCCUGGUAGUCCACGCCCUAAACGAUGGGCACUAGGUGCAGGGGGUGUUGACCCCUCCUGUGCCGCAGCUAACGCAUUAAGUGCCCCGCCU
rnacentral:rRNA from 1 species